AUGGAGGCUGUGGUCGCUUCUCAGUCCCCCUGCUAUAGCCCACACAUCAGGAGCGCCUAUAAUGGGGUGCGCAUCAGCACGGUGGAGCGAGCUUCCAAGCAGAAAGCGACGUCUGUCUCGAGCUCCAGCAGUGGUUCUUCCCGCCGCUUUGGCCCUUCUUCUUCGCGGGGCGAGAAGGCAAAUGCGGCUGCUGUUGCUGGCCUCCUGGAGCUGCUGCUGCUGGAGACCCCAACUCCGAUGACCAGGGGAAAGCUGAAGCAAAUUGCUCACCGAUGCGACCUGAACACGACAACCAUCCUUGAUCAAGCCUGGGUACUUGCCAAUGGCGCCGUGUCUGACGGAGCAGUAGCUUCUCCUCCUGUCAACGGAUCCUCUGCUUCAUCCGCGUGCGUCUUCGGCAACCCCAUUGAGUAG
rnacentral:rRNA from 1 species